UAAUAUGUUAGUCGUAGAUCCCCAUAUAAUUAUGGCAGAUCUUCAUUUGACUAUUCAAAACCUUCACUUUUUUUAGUCCAUGUUGAGGGAUUUUAGAUAAAUGUUGAGAUCUCUUUAACAAUAUAAA
rfam:Populus trichocarpa isolate Nisqually-1 chromosome 11, whole genome shotgun sequence.